ACAUAUCAUAGCCAUCCCGAGGUACUGUGCAAACGUGCCACCUAGUGGCUGUCUUGCAAAAAAAGUCAAACAUUUGGCAACGGAUGAAGAAAAAAAUAAUUGUGAGAUGUUGUCCUCGACGGCAACGUCGUAAAUGCCCUAAUGCAACAAAUGUAUUUUUUUAGGGAGCGAUGCGAGGCAUUGGUGAACCGGGCGUGAACAAGUAGAUAGUACCACUACUGCCAUGCAUUGAAGGAUGGCGCCGCUGGAGUGGCUGCUGGUGACAAAGGGUGGCACCUUCAUGACUUCUGCGGUGCUUUUUUGUGAACUUCUGAAUCUGCCUCCCAGGAGUUUUUUGGCCAUGGAGACCAGCUGCUGGGUCUCUGCCACACCAGAGUCAGUUGGAGAGACUGGAGGAGAUGCGGAUAAAGAGACAGGGGAGCGGAGCUAGCGUUGAGCGCCGGGAUGGGCUAGCUUCACAAUGUCUCGGCUGAGUGAGCAGGUAUCGGACAACUCGGUGUCCUUAGAUGCAUCCUUGAUCAUCCAUGCGGACUGGACACUGGCCAAGUUAGUGGGCGGCCGAGAGGGGAGUCGGCUCUCUUGGUUGCUUUGUUGGGUCUGCUCCUGUCUCUGGCCAUGCUCCCUUCACACCAGCAGACGAUGGUGCGGAACACCGCAGAGGCCACCACAGUGUAUAUGUUUAUUUAACUUUUUAUCCAUAGCUGUAUAUAGAAGUGGCUGCAUGUUGCAUCUGCUCUGCUCUUUUAAUGUCUUUAAUGUCCUUUGUGUUAAUUGAUGUUUGAUGUUUCUCGAGAGGGAUGUGUGCUAUGGCUAUGGGUUGUUUUUCCCUUGGCCUCAGUCUGGACCCCUCACCAGGGGCCCAGGCUUAGAACGAUUUUUUUUUCUAAAGCCCCACACCUCCCCCAUUGUUUACCUGUAUCUCACCUUUUUUGUAAGCGGCACCAGAAGUUGGCAGAUCUGUAAGCGAUCCCCUGUUCUGUCUCCCUGUAAUGUUUGUCCGAUCUUGAAUGGGAUUGUGCUGAAAAUUUUAAUUUCCCCUCGGGGAUUCAUAAAAUAUUUCUGAUUCUGAUUCUGAUUCUGAUACAAGCUUUGGAGCAACAUAUGUUGCCAUCCAAGCAACGUUAUCAUGGACGCCCCUGCUUAUUUCAGCAAGACAAUGCCAAGCCACGUGUUACAACAGCAUGGCUUCAUAGUAAAAGAGUGCGGGUACUAGACUAGCCUGCCUGUAGUCCAGACCUGUCCCCCAUUAAAAAUGUGUGGAGCAAUAUGAAGCCUAAUAUACCACAACGGAGACUCCAAACUUUUGUAAAACAACUGAAACUGUACAUCAAGCAAGAGUGGGAUAUAAUUCCACCUGAAAAUCUUCAAAAACUGGUCUUCUCAGUUCCCAAACAUUUACCGAGUGUUGUUAAAAGGAAAGGCCAUGACACACAGUGGAAAAAAUAACCCCAAUGACAACUUUUUUGCAACGUGUUGCUGCCAUUAAAUUUUAAAUUGAUGAUUAUUUGCAUAAACAAAAAUAAGAUUCUCAGUUCGAACAUUAAAUAUAUUUUCUUUGUAGUUUAUUCAAUUGAAUAUAAGUUUAAGAUAAUUAGGAAUUCAUUAUAUUCUGUUUUUAUUUACAAAUUAAACAACGUACCAACUUCAUAUGUCAUAUCCUACGUUCACGUUGUGAAUCUAAUUGCUCAAAUCAACUAACUUUUGUCAAUGUUAAAAAAAAAAUUGAGUUUGACCUGUACAGUACAUCUGGAAAGUAUUUGCAGCGCUUGACUUUUUCCACAUUUUGUUGUUCCAAAAUAGAAGAAAAUUAAUUUUUGUCCUCAACAUUCUACAUAUGAUACCUUUUUUAAUUUGAAAAGGUGUUUUUCUUUGGAAAUAGUUGUACAGAGUAUUGGGCGGAAAUGCCCAAUACUCUGUACAACACCUCUCAAGCUACAUCAGGGUGAAGACACAUUAAUUUUCAAAUCUCUCCAAGGACGUUCAAUCGGAUUCAAGUCUGGGCUCUGGCUCAGCCACUCAAGGACAAGUUACUGAAUUGUCCUGAAGCCAUUUCUUUGAUAUCAUGGCUGUGUGGUUAGGUUCAUUGUCCUGCUGAAAUAUGAACUGUUGCCCCAGUCUGAGUUUACGAGCACUCUGGAACAGGUUUUCAUCCAGGAUGUCUCUGUACAUUGCUGUACAUUUUCCCUCUAUCCUGACUAGUCUCCCAGUUCCUGCCACUCCAAAACCAUUCCCACAGCAUGAUGCUGCCACCACUGUGCUUUACUGUAAAGAUGGUAUUGGCCUGGUGAUGAGUGGUGCCUGGUUUCCAUCAAAAUGGCGCCUGGCAUUCACGCCGAAGAGUUCAAUCUUAAUCUCAUCAGACCAGAGAAUUUUGUUCUCUCUCUCUUUCUCUCUCUCAUUGUGUGUCUCUGUCUCUCUCUCGUGGUUACCUCCCUGACUAGGGCCCUUCUGUCCCCAUCGCUAAGUUUAGGCGGCCAGCCAGCUCUAGGAAAUGUCCUGACUAUUCCAAACUUCUUCCAUUUACAGAUGAUGAAGGCCACUGUGCUAAUUGACACAUUCGAGGCAGCAGAUACAGUACUGUACCCUUCUCUAUAUUUGCGCCUCAAGAUAAUCCUGUCUUGGAGGUCUACAGACACUUCCUUCGACUUCAUUACUGGUGGGCUCCAGCUAAGCUGGAGGAACAUCUCAAGGAUGAACAGUUGAAACAGGAGGCACCUCAACUCACUUUUGAGAUUCAUAGCAAAGACUGUGAAUACUUACUAUAUGUACAUGUAAUGACUUAAUGUUCUUUCUUUUAAUACAUUUACAAACAUUUCAAUAGAAAACUUU